CUCAUCACACCUCACGGAGCCUGUUUCUGAGGUGCCAGGGUGGCCCUGCACGUGCUGCCAUCAUGAGGCACUUGUUACGUAGGGGCUGAACCAACAGGUCCUUUCCUUCGAGCCGCUGGGCAGGCGGCUUCCUGGGCCUCUCUGUUUUAGCACUUGGGACACUGAGAUGUGGAGAA
rfam:Tupaia belangeri cont1.063170, whole genome shotgun sequence.